CUAUUUUGUAAAUGGGCUCGGGCCGAGGCAAGUGUUUUAGGUCCAAGAAACUUAUAGAUCAGGUUAAGUCCGGGUCUCACCAAAGUCAUCUUCAGUAAAAAUCUCCAAUCGACGACGCAAUCCAGCCUUCAAAUCGAUUUCUCCGAUUAAGGAAGUCAAACGAUUGUGACCUUCUGUACUGGCGAAGAAAUAACGACGAAGUCGGUGGGAGAAACGGGAAUUACGACUCCGUUUAAGGAACCCCGGAAGAGAAUUACAAGAAAAAGAAGGACAAAGUGCUUUGAUUUCGUUGUGAUGGGAAAUGGCAGGUCGGAAAUUGCUAUCGACGGAAGGAUAACGAGGAUUUCCUUCCCUUAACCCUGAGAAAUUCAAUGGUUGGAGGAUUUCCUUCCCUUUCUCUAGUAUCAAAGUUGAGGUAACAUGCGUGUCUAGCUUCAAUUGUGAGUGCCUGUCAUUAUAUUAUGUUUUUGUGAACCCUAGUCUCUAAACAAAAUCAAUGUGAUUUAUUUUUUGAAUGGAACCGUUGAAUAAAAACUUAAAAUAAAUUCAUUACAUUCUAAAUAAAUUGAAAAUUUGCUAUCAAGAAGUUCAAAAAUUAUGAAUACUAAUGUUUGAGUUCCCAUUUUAUCCUGGUAGUGGUGUAUCUAGGUGGAGCUGCUGAUCCUUCUUCCUGUUUUCUGGAGUUGGAGUUCUUGUCUCUGUUUGUUAGAGGUCCUGGCUAAGUUGGUUCCCUUGUUAUUCGCCAUUUUGUAACCCCUGGUGCUUCUAAGGUUUACUAGCAAUUGUAAUUUUCCUUUUUAAGUACUUUUUAUGUGUGGUAGAUUUGCAUAUGAUCUAUUUUUUUCUUACUUUUAAAUCUUGGGAAAAAGCAUCCACAGGUUAACUUUAAGUUAAUCAGUUAAUUGCCAAAAAAAAAAAAAAAAACAAAAACAAAAGCAAACAAACAGUAUCUUUUUCAAAAGGACUAUUGAUAUUUUAUUUUGGUUUAAAAUAUAAAGACUAAGAUUACACGAAUAGACUCUCGUCCAACUGCCAAAAUGUGCGUUCAGUCCCUAUUUUCGAAAAUUAACUCGGACCAUCCCUGUAU
rnacentral:lncRNA from 1 species